AAUAGAGUGGCAUAGUGGUUUGAGUGGUGGAUUACAACUCUGGAGACCAGGGUUCGAUUCUCAGCUCAGCCA